UACAGAGGGGGCAAGCGUUAUUCGGAAUUAUUGGGCGUAAAGGGCGCGUAGGCGGCCUGGCAAGUGGAAGGUGAAAUCCCUCGGCUUAACCGAGGAACUGCCUCCCAAACUGCUUGGCUUGAGACCGGGAGAGGUGAGUGGAAUUCCCAGUGUAGCGGUGAAAUGCGCAGAUAUCAGGAGGAACACCAAUUGCGAAGGCAGCUCGCUGGGACGUUACUGACGCUGAGACGCGAAAGCGUGGGGAGCAAACAGG
rnacentral:rRNA from 1 species